rnacentral:rRNA from 1 species
AUGCGCCUCGACACUGAAGCCAUUGCUGGACUGCCAUGCUUAGAAGAAGCACUUGACUGUUUUCGUGAUGCCGGUCUGCUCAACUUUGUGACAGACAAAGAACAUUGGAAUGAGGAACUCUUGCUUCAAUUCUAUGCUACCCUCCACAUUCGCGGCUACAACAGGGAUAUCAAGACAUGGGUUCUCGAGUGGAUGACAGGAAAUGUUCAUCAUGAAGCCAAAGCUCUUGAUGUCAUUGAGCUUACAGGCCUACCCACUCCCGGAGAGCUAUAUGAACCUGAUUGUCAACUACACCGCAAUGCACUGGAGAGCAUCUUCCAUAAGCCAGAACCCAACAUGAGCCAGAUGUUGAGCAUGAUGAAGCCUUUGCCUUCUGACGCUGAAUACCCAACAGAGUUCUUUGUUGAUGACCUUGAGUAUCUGCCUCGCACAAUAUAUCACAUCAUCAGGCGAACUCUAUGGCCUAUCAAAGGGCAUUCAUCAGCGUCCAAACUUGAAGGAGCCAUGAAGACAUUGGUCUUUUACAUCCUCAAUGGCAUUAGCUUGAAUUCCCAGGAAUUCUUCAUUCGACAACUUGCUGCGUCUGGAUCUGACCUUAUUGGCCUGAAAUUCUAUGCUCCAUGGGUCAUGCGCCUCAUCAAGCGACAUUCCUCUGUCAACUAUCAACCCUCUGCUCGCAACCAUCUGAUCUUUCUACCAGAGGUUGAUAUGUCAGUUGAAGCCAUAUACUCUGAGCUUGCCAAGAAGCCUCUCUGUCUUCAAAAUGUCGAGCACCAAAGCUUCACUCAACCCAUUGAAGGCGUCCAAGCAGUAACACGUAUCUAUCCAAUGGCUGGGAACACUCAUCUGCCUCAUCGUGCGCAAACUGAAGCUACUGAAAGCACCAUUGCCCAAAGGCCUCAGAAGCGCUCUCGCGUUCUCAAUGACCGAGAACUUCUUGUGGCACUUCAUCAGAAACAAGAUAAGCAUCACUUUUGGCUCAAGAGACAGAUGCAAAGCCUCUUGGUGGAUGUCAAUCACAUUCGAAAUCUUGCCACCAAGAAUGCAUUUGUCGCACACAAGACUUUUCGGCGAUCAUGGAAGAGUUUGACGCUGCUCAGUGCUGAAGCAGAUCUUCAAGACGAUGGCUUCAUUGAAAGAUUCAAGUUUGACUCCACUCCUCCACGGACUGGUGUCCUAUGUCGAACUCCAUCCCUUGAAGACUCUGACUAUUCUUCCUCCGCGGCAACUGUGAAUGCCAGAGUGAUCGAUGAUGAAGAUGAUGCUACUUCACCGCCCCCUACUUCUGCACACAUCGACACUGCACCAAGUACGUCUGCACCGCCAAACAACAACGACAACCCUGCUGCUUCACCUACUCAUGAGGACGAGUAG